GUCCACGCCCUAAACGAUGCGAACUGGAUGUUGGGUUCAACUUGGAACCCAGUAUCGAAGCUAACGCGUUAAGUUCGCCGCCUGGGGAGUACGGUCGCAAGACUGAAACUCAAAGGAAUUGACGGGGGCCCGCACAAGCGGUGGAGUAUGUGGUUUAAUUCGAUGCAACGCGAAGAACCUUACCUGGUCUUGACAUCCACGGAACUUUCCAGAGAUGGAUUGGUGCCUUCGGGAACCGUGAGACAGGUGCUGCAUGGCUGUCGU
rnacentral:rRNA from 1 species